rnacentral:misc_RNA from 1 species
GUAGGUGAACCUGCGGAAGGAUCAUUAACACGUUACUUAAAAACAACGUAUUAAACCAAACGAGAAAUUGAUAAUUGCCCUGUGUGGAUGUGGAGAGUGAAAUGAGAAGAAUGGUGUGUGAGGUGUAACAACCGAGCUGUCUUUUGUUUCGAGUAGUGCAUGCAUGGCAACAUGUGUGACAUUACAGCUUUCUCGCUGCAUAGUUGAUAUAGUACCACUCGCGUAUAAAGCCUGCACCUUGGCUUGCUUUUGGUAUGCCCAUAUUCUUAACCCCUUUAAUUUAACCACUGAUUUGUACGUUUAUCUUUAUUCCUGUUUUCGGACAGUCGAGUUCAUUUAAAUGUCGUAUAUACUAAUACGAAACAACUCUUAGCAACGGAUAUCUUGGUUCUC